ensembl:snoRNA
UGGAUCAGUGAUGAAAAUUGCCAGCAUAGCAGUCAACGCACGAUGAAUGGUACGCGUCUGGAGCUCUGAGGUCCAA